rnacentral:rRNA from 1 species
GACGAACGCUGGCGGCGUGCUUAACACAUGCAAGUCGAACGGAAAGGCCCUGCUUGCAGGGUGCUCGAGUGGCGAACGGGUGAGUAACACGUGGGUGAUCUGCCCCUUACUUUGGGAUAAGCCUGGGAAACUGGGUCUAAUACUGGAUAGGACCAUGCUGUAGGUGGUGUGGUGGAAAGAUUAGUUUCGGUAAGGGAUGAGCUCGCGGCCUAUCAGCUUGUUGGUGGGGUAAUGGCCUACCAAGGCGUCGACGGGUAGCCGGCCUGAGAGGGUGGACGGCCACAUUGGGACUGAGACACGGCCCAGACUCCUACGGGAGGCAGCAGUGGGGAAUAUUGCACAAUGGGCGCAAGCCUGAUGCAGCGACGCCGCGUGGGGGAUGACGGCCUUCGGGUUGUAAACUCCUUUCAGCCAUGACGAAGCCCUUGUGGUGACGGUAGUGGUAGAAGAAGCACCGGCUAACUACGUG